AGGAAUAAAAGGGAAUCAAGACGGAAUAUUUCCUUCAUGUGUCCUUAAGGGGUUAAACUUUAUGAUAUAGGAGAUUGGGGAAAUAGGCAGAGAUAAAAUAUUAAGCAUAAAUCGUGGACUGUAGCCUUAGAGUCCAUAGACUCUAUUUUCCCUUAUGGGAAAAUAUGUAUUACCCACAAACCACACCUAGGUCGUAAAUAUAUAUAUCUACCCAUAUAUAUAUUGAAAAAGUAAGGACAAUAAUAAACAACUUCUCUCCUUUACCGGAGAUUUCUCCCUCCUUUGCCGGAGGCUUCUCCUUUACCGGAGACUUCAGUAGACCCAUUGCCAGGUGUCUCUUAAAUUACCACUUCACUUCUAGGUUCAGGAUUGAAGAUUUCAUGUACUUUAUCUAUAUAACGCUUAGUGAAUAUACCCCUAGACACAGAGCUAUAAACUUUCCUAUCUCACACACUGACACACAUGCAGCUACACAGAUA